GUGCAAAAUCUAGCACAAAUGUGGAAGAGGGCUUUGUCACUCUUGCUAGAGACAUCAUGACAAGAUUAAACCGAAAAAUGAAUGAGAAUAACCCUUCAGGAGGAGGAGGAGCCGUGAAAAUCACAGAGAGUCGAUCCAAGAAGCCAAGCUUCUUCCGCUGCACUCUGCUCUAACCCGGCAACUUCUGCAGCCUCAGUGUGUGAAUGAUUAAUUUCUCUAUGUGUGUUUGAGCUCAGCGCGUGUGUGUUUGUGUGAGGGUUUACCGUACCACUGGACUUUCAGCUGUUAGCUGCUGCUGAGAGCUCUGGACUUUAGCCUGCCUCAUCUAUACGAAUUGAAGGCCUGAAGAUAGUGUGCUAGAUAAAAGACACUUGAGCUGUUCCCAAAACAUUCCUUUAAAACCAAAAUAUUCAACACUCUACCCAUUAACCACCUGGAUCAAUCCCAAUUUAGCGUAGCCUAAUUAGAAUUUUGAGAACCUUUUGUUAUCUUCAAAAUAAUUAAUUACAUAUAGUCAAUUUAUAGUCACGUUGAUUUUAAAGGGUUUGUUAAAGCACCAUUUAAUGAAGGAAAAUAUAUGAAGAGAUUACAGUAUAUCGAACUCCUGCUAUUAUGCAGUUUUUGGCAAUAAAGAUUGUGGAUGUAAAGUAGCGACUGAAGAACCUGAUGGUUUGACAAUCAAAUAUUGGUCAAACCGAAGGACAUGCAAUAUAUAUAUCAUUUCUGUUACUGUUGAAUGUUAUGUUUUGUUAUAUUUAAAGUCACCAUUUUAUAUGUUCUUAAUUUUGUUUUUAGUUACUGUUCCAAAGCCGCAAUAAACUAAUAGAAAGCAAUGUUCACAGAUCUUAGUCUUCCCCCUUUCCCCGACUUUACCAUAUUAAUCUUAAUUUUAAUAGAGACCAAAGUAAAAAGAUAUCGAAACUGUGAUGGAUUUUUUUGGUUGUAAUCUCUCAUAUAUUAUAUUGAGCAUGAAAAAGAAAGACAGAAGAAUAAAGAGAGGGCUAGGACCCGUUUCCUAUUGCUUGUUGAAGCAGCAGCCAGCUAGGCCCUGUAUAUUAGUAUAUACAGUAUUACAUUUACUAACAGUAU